GAUGAACGCUGGCGGCGUGCCUAAUACAUGCAAGUCGAGCGAACAGACGAGGAGCUUGCUCCUCUGACGUUAGCGGCGGACGGGUGAGUAACACGUGGAUAACCUACCUAUAAGACUGGGAUAACUUCGGGAAACCGGAGCUAAUACCGGAUAAUAUAUUGAACCGCAUGGUUCAAUAGUGAAAGACGGUUUUGCUGUCACUUAUAGAUGGAUCCGCGCCGCAUUAGCUAGUUGGUAAGGUAACGGCUUACCAAGGCGACGAUGCGUAGCCGACCUGAGAGGGUGAUCGGCCACACUGGAACUGAGACGCGGUCCAGACUCCUACGGGAGGCAGCAGUAGGGAAUCUUCCGCAGUGGGCGAAAGCCUGACGGAACAACGCCGCGUGAGUGGUGAAGGUCUUCGGAUCGUAAAACUCUGUUAUUAGGGAAGAACAAAUGUGUAAGUAACUAUGCACGUCUUGACGGUACCUAAUCAGAAAGCCACGGCUAACUACGUG
rnacentral:rRNA from 1 species